rnacentral:rRNA from 1 species
UACGUAGGGUGCAAGCGUUGUCCGGAUUUACUGGGUUUGAAGGGAGCGUAGGCGGCCCGAUAAGUCAGCGGUGAAAUAUACCAGCUUAACUGGUAACGUGCCGUUGAUACUGUCAGGCUUGAGUUCCGGAGAGGGUACUGGAAUUCGUGGUGUAGCGGUGAAAUGCAUAGAUACCACGAGGAACACCGAUUGCGAAGGCAGGUACCUGGCCGGCGACUGACGCUGAGGCUCGAAAGCGUGGGGAUCAAACAGG